rnacentral:lncRNA from 1 species
CCUUCUUCUCUCUUCUGCAGAGCUGGGCAUCAGAGCACACUGAGCAGCAGGAUGAAAUGCCCACAGAGCUUCUGAGGCCAAGUCCUGUCUGACAGAUUUGGGAAGGUUCGAAUCUGUGCUGCUGCAUCCCUAUCCCCUGAAAUGAAACUUGACAGACGCAAUGAAACGCCGCAGGAGACAGUCAGCUUGCCAUCACCAGGAGUCUCCCAAUUUUGGUCAAGUGCAGAAAGAAACGCUGGAAAAAAGCCCAUGGGCUUUGGAGUCAGCUAGACCUGGGAUGCAGCACUUGCAUCUCCACCAUCAUUUCUGUGCCUUUGGAUUGGAUGCAUUUCCCUUGUCUGAGUCUUGGUUCUGUCAUCUCUAAUAUGGGAGAAACAGUGACAACCACAUGGGGCAGGUGGGACGAGGACAUGGGAGGUUUCCCAGGGCCCUGGCCUGGGGCUUGGUGUGUGGGAGAGAAGUUUC